rnacentral:rRNA from 1 species
AUUGAACGCUGGCGGCAUGCUUUACACAUGCAAGUCGAACGGUAACAGGGUGCUUGCACCGCUGACGAGUGGCGAACGGGUGAGUAAUGCGUCGGAACGUGCCGAGUAGUGGGGGAUAACGUAGCGAAAGCUACGCUAAUACCGCAUACGAUCUGUGGAUGAAAGCGGGGGACCGUAAGGCCUCGCGCGAUUGGAGCGGCCGAUGUCAGAUUAGGUAGUUGGUGAGGUAAAGGCUCACCAAGCCGACGAUCUGUAGCUGGUCUGAGAGGACGACCAGCCACACUGGGACUGAGACACGGCCCAGACUCCUACGGGAGGCAGCAGUGGGGAAUUUUGGACAAUGGGCGCAAGCCUGAUCCAGCAAUGCCGUGUGCAGGAUGAAGGCCUUCGGGUUGUAAACUGCUUUUGUACGGAGCGAAACGGCUUCCACUAAUACUGGGGGCUAAUGACGGUACCGUAAGAAUAAGCACCGGCUAACUACGUGCCAGCCGCCGCGGUAAAAC